CCCUCCAACUGCAUGGGAGGAACUACCAGUGUCUCAAGGCUUGUAGGUCAAGCAGGCCUUGGACCAAAAGGACAGCACAAAUUGAUUAAAGCUCUUUUCUUGAGACAUUGGUGUCUUCCCAUGGUGGGGUCCAUCUAUGCCUCUUCAGCCCAGACCUUAUGUCUCCAGCUGUAUAUCCCUGACUCCUCGAUAGACAUCACCACGAAGCGACUGAAGCACUCAUCAAAGGGGCGAGCCUGGCUGAAGGGUAACCAGCCAGCCUGUGAUAAAGCACAAGAUGGGGUAUUAGUUGGUGUCUGCUACAAGACCAUCAAAUCACACUAAGGAAAGGAUGACCAGUUCCUUAUGCACCUAUCUAUAAAGUGCAGGAAAAAAAGCUAUGUGAUCCAGAGGGACUUCAGUUUGAGUGACACAUUCCAGAAGUCUCAUGCUGCUGGAGGAUAUUAAACAGAAACAACUGAAGUGAUACAUUUUUAAAUCAGCAGAUCCAGAUAACUUGCAUCCAAGAGUUUUAAAAGAGCUGGAUAAGAAGCUUGCUGGACCACUAUUGUUGAUUUUCAACAAGUCUUGGAACUCUAGGGAAGCCCCAGAAGACUGGAAGAAAGCUAAUAUGCCAAUAUUUAAAAAGGGUAAAUGGAAUGACCCACGUAACUACAGGCCUGUCAGUCUGACAUUGAUCCCAGUCAACAUAAUGGAGAGGCUGAUACGGGACUUGAUUAACAAAGAAUUAAAGGCCAAUCAACAUGGGUUUAUGGAAAAUAGGGUUUUUGGA